UACGGGGGGGGCAAGCGUUGUUCGGAAUUACUGGGCGUAAAGCGCACGUAGGCGGAUUUGUAAGUCAGGGGUGAAAUCCCGGGGCUCAACCUCGGAACUGCCUUUGAUACUGCAAGUCUUGAGUCCGGAAGAGGUGAGUGGAAUUCCUAGUGUAGAGGUGAAAUUCGUAGAUAUUAGGAAGAACACCAGUGGCGAAGGCGGCUCACUGGUCCGGUACUGACGCUGAGGUGCGAAAGCGUGGGGAGCAAACAGG
rnacentral:rRNA from 1 species